GUGGGCGUCGGUGAACUCCUUACCAAGGCCUGAUGCAGGUUAUGUGGUGUGCCCACCACAUUGUCUGAUGAAAAUAACAAGGAGAAAUCCCUUAUUAGGCUUGUAGGUCUGGUGGAUUCAUCGCACCCCUGAUAAAGGAGAGGUGAGGGGUUCACGUCCACUCAUGCCUACCAAAUUCUUUCCCAUGCUGCGUUGACCUUUCACUCGCAUACUAGAGUAUGCAAUCCCAUUGCACACCUCAUGCCUAUACUGAUUAACUCUUUGAUCGUGGUUAACUUAAAUAUUGCUUUUCCCUCUCGGCGGCUAUUAUUGAGCUGAAACAGCCUCUGAUUUGCUCAAAUUUGGACCGCUGCGCGUUACCGUAUCUCUCCUUGCAAUACUGAGAUGCUCUUUGACAAUCUCAGAGCCUCUCAAAUAAUCGCAGCGCGAAAGACACCUUCAGACCUUCGGGUUGAGAGGCUAAGCGACUACGGUAUAUCUCCUGGCAGUACGGCAAUGUGAUUUGGCUGUAUCAGAGUCUCUCAAAUAAUCGCAGCGCGAAACUGACUUGAUGUAUCAAAGACACCUUCGGGUUGUGAGGCUAAGCGACUUUUUGUAUCCCGUGGAUGUCUUGGCACUUUUUUUUCUUUUCUUU
rnacentral:misc_RNA from 1 species